UACGUAGGGGGGCAAGCGUUAUCCGGAUUUACUGGGUGUAAAGGGAGUGUAGAUGGCAUGGCAAGUCAGAUGUGAAAGCCUGGGGCUCAACCCCGGAACUGCAUUUGAAACUGUCAAGCUGGAGUGCAGGAGAGGAAAGUGGAAUUCCUAGUGUAGCGGUGAAAUGCGUAGAUAUUAGGAAGAACACCAGUGGCGAAGGCGGCUUUCUGGACUGUAACUGACAUUGAGGCUCGAAAGCGUGGGGAGCAAACAGG
rnacentral:rRNA from 1 species